UUUGCUUAUCUUUAAUGCAAUCU
rnacentral:snRNA from 1 species